rnacentral:sRNA from 1 species
UUGCUGUGGGACGACUAUCGAUGAAUUG